rnacentral:lncRNA from 1 species
GUUCGGACCCGAGGAACCAAGGACCCCAGCAGUGAGCCAGCUGCUACAGAGUUUGUCAGAGUCAGCCAGAGGUGAGUGGGACUAUACUUAACCUUUUAAAUUAAGAAAUUAAAUGUUUUUAUCAUGCUUCAUGCAUCAUGAUUAUGGUAUAGGUUGUUUGCAUUAGAAUCACGAAUUCUGUUGCAUCGCAUUAUUAUUUGUUCUUGAUGGGGGAUGGACAUUGCACGACUCACUAGCCCUUUGUACGAAGUCCUAUGGUGCCCAUAAUAGGGCCGGGCAAUAGCUCCGAUCUACGAAGUCCUGUGGUGCCCAUAAUAGGGCCGGGCAAUACGAAGUCCUGUGGUGCCCAUAAUAGGGCCGGGCAUGGAGCUGAGGGAUUUUUGGGUCAGUCCAUCCAUGAUGUGAAAUGUUUGUGCAGUGAUGCAUUCCAUGAUAACAUGUUUUAAAAUAUUCUUUUUAGAGUUCUACUCACUGGGCAUCUAGCUCACCCCUCUCCCCUAAACCCCAGGUUUGCAGGUACGGGAUAGAUAGAGAAGACAAGAAGAGAAAAAGUCCUAUGAAUGUAAUAGUUAGAUUGUGGACAUGACAAUUGUAUUUUGAUGUAAUGUAAAAAUGUUCAGUAUGUUAUGUAAUGAGGUUAUUGAGGAUAGAGUUGUGCUUGACCAUAG